rnacentral:rRNA from 1 species
GACGGAGGAUGCAAGCGUUAUCCGGAUUCACUGGGCGUAAAGCGCACGUAGGCGGAUUCUUAAGUCAGGGGUGAAAUCCUGGAGCUCAACUCCAGAACUGCCUUUGAUACUGAGGGUCUUGAGUUCGGGAGAGGUGAGUGGAACUGCGAGUGUAGAGGUGAAAUUCGUAGAUAUUCGCAAGAACACCAGUGGCGAAGGCGGCUCACUGGCCCGAUACUGACGCUGAGGUGCGAAAGCGUGGGGAGCAAACAGGG